UACGUAGGUGGCAAGCGUUGUCCGGAUUUAUUGGGGUUUAAAGGGUGCGUAGGCGGCUUUGUAAGUCAGUGGUGAAAUAUGGCAGCUCAACUGAUCAGGGUGCCAUUGAUACUGCAGAGCUUGAGUACAGAUGAGGUAGGCGGAAUUGACGGUGUAGCGGUGAAAUGCUUAGAUAUCGUCAAGAACACCGAUAGCGAAGGCAGCUUACUGGGCUGUAACUGACGCUGAGGCACGAAAGCGUGGGGAGCAAACAGG
rnacentral:rRNA from 1 species